GCAAGUCUAUGUUGUAGUAUGCUUUCCCAACCCUCUCCUCACUAUCCCCCACACAACUCUAUAUUCCAGACUAUCAGCCUCCUCACUGCUCUGCAAAAAUAUGGCACUAACUUCUUCCAUGUCCACUCUUUCUCCUUUUUGCUGCCUACCAAGCUCAGUCCUCUCUGAGGGUCAGUUCCUUUCCCUUUACCUCCAUGACGGAUGCACGUGAAGAGGCGUUAUGACAGCUGGAGCUCAUUCAUACCCAGGCUUGAUUCCACUAAACUGGCUGGCUAGACAAGUGCCUUCGUCUUUCAGGAAUACUUGUAUGUUUCCAGAAGCUGCAAAAUUGGAAAAAGACUUUAUGCUCCUGGGAAGAGGGGAUUUGUGUUUUAGUGAAACGUUAUAUGAGAUCUUCAAUCCUUUACAACAAUGUUAAACGUAUUUUUGAGCUCCGUUUCCCCCACAAGAGUUUCCUAAGAAACCCCAGCCCACACUCAUUUUUCCCUUCUUUGAACUCCUACUACACUUGGUUGCUGAACCACACAAUCUAGCUUUUGUCUAUGUGCCUGCUAUUUCUGUUAUAGCUUCAAAUUUUCCAUAGUGGUUAUUAACUACUUAAGGGAAAAGAUGGUUUCAUAUUUAUACAUAAAUAUGAUUUCUUCCAUAGGAUCUGGCCUCACUUCCUAUACACAGACAAAUAUACAGUUCUUAUCCUUAUGCCUCACACAAAUAAGUGCAUUAAAAAUGAUUUUUUGAGGAAGUGAACACAGAUCAUAGAAUUCCAUGAGACUAGAACUUAGGUCUCAUGACCUCCAUGCCUAUGAUUUCUUAACUCUUAAUAUAUUAUACCAUUAAACCCCCAAACUUGGCCAUAUGUUUAGCAUUAUUCUAUAUAUCUAGAUAUUAUAGUCUUAUAAUAUUAAUCAUCUUCCCUUCAUGUUGGAAUAAGAAUUUUUUUUUAAUUUCAUAGAAAUGACAAGUGGAGGAUAGCAUGAAUCUCUGACAUCCAUCGAUCAUCCCCAGGCUCCAUUAAAGCACCUGAAAGUGGAAUCCUGCCAUUUUGCCCAGGGUGGAUUUGAACACAUGACCCUCCUGCCUCAGUUUUCCGAGUAGCUGGGACUGAAAAAGCAGCGUCUCUGUUUUUGUGUUCAGAGUGACAUUAACCUACUUCUGUUUAAAUGAGUAAAAUUGUCUUUCCAUUAGAUUCAUUUGGUGGAGAAUUUAACUUAAAAUGUAAAAGUAAAGAGGAGUUAGAGGUGAGCUAGAAUUUUAUAGUUUAAUACCAUGUAAAUAUUGCCAACUUAUUUUUUCUAAUUUAAUUAGAACUAAUAUAAAGUUAAUAAGAUGAAAAUAAAUUCAUUGUUCAGAAUUGUAAACAUUGGAAUGAUAGUAAGGAUCCAAUGCUAUUGACUUCCCUUUCUUUGAAGCAGAAUAGCAUUGCUAAAAAAUGAUAUUAAUAUGUCAGGAAUUUAAAUUUAAGGAAAAAAUGACCAAUAGUUUAUUUCAAGAUUUUUCUCCCUGUCUCAGCAUGUAAUCAAAUAUACCACACAAUAAUUUGAGUUGCCAACCAUUAAGAAAAUCAUAAUCACAUUUAGUUAGGAGAGCAUGUCGUAUUCUCUUAGUUCUCCCACAUACUUAAGUCAUAGACAUGCUCAAUGAAUCCUUGUUGAAUUUGAUUUUUUUUCACACUGCAGUCAGAUACACUAAGUUUGAAGGAUUUACUACACUGGAACCAUUUCCAAUCUAGACAGAGACCACAGGAUGCCUUAUAUUUUAAUUCCAAAUAAAAUGAUAUUCUGCAUAUUAAAUGAGAAAGCAAAUUUUCAGUUAGUUGAUUAGGCAAUUCUUCUAGAUAGAUACUUUUGAAGGCCCCACAAUAGAAAUAUAUGUAUAUAUGAAAUAGAAAAACAAACUCUAUGAAAAUAAUGCAGUUGGAUAAGUGUUUACUUGUACUAAAUAUGAAAUGCAAAUAACUGUUGGAAACUAAAUGUGUUUCUUAUUUAUAAAUGUUACUCAUGGACUCAGGAAAGAAAGUCAUAAAUCUCUGAACUUUGUGUUUCCAAGAAAGAGCAAGAGCAAUGUUGAACUGCUGGAAUAUUUCUCUUUAUUUCUUGAUAGAAUGUUCAUAAUUGGAUCUCAUGUCCCAGGAAACCCUAAUCCUAUAAUACAUAGGUAUGAAUAGCAGAUAUGGGACUGUUUUAGUCAUUUAACUAAUUUUUUUAAAAAGUGAAAAAAUAAUUACUAAAGGGAUUGGAAUCUCUCUGGAAAUAAUCUUGGAAGCUGUGAACAAUGUAGUUGAAGUCCUCCCCAACUUUUAUUCAAAAUCUUUGCAGACAAAUGUAUUAUGUAAUUUAUAAUUGUUUUGACCAUCUGUUCUCUAGAGCACCCAAAAUCAAACACAUAAAUAUUCUGACAGAAAAACAUAUAGAUAGUCACACUAAGUGAAAUAAAUAAAAACCUUGAAGAGCCUUGAAUCAGUUCUUACUGCCUUGAUUUAAGUCAACUUUUGUCAUCAAAUGAGUUGAAUAAAAACUUUCUGUAAGCCUGUGCUUUUAGUAUCAUAUCAAAGAAAUAUUAGCAAAGAUCAAUAUUAUGAAUCUUUUCCCUUAUGUUUUCUUCUAGUAGUUUUAUAGUUUUAAGUCUUACAUUUAAGUCUUUAAUCCAUUUAGAGUUGAUGUUUGCAUAUGGUAAGAAUAAGGGACUAAUUUCAUUUCUUUUGCAUGUGGAUAUCUAGUUUUCCCAGAAUGUUUUAUUGAAGAGACUGUCCUUUCCCUACUGUGUGUUCUUGGCAUCUUUGUCAAAAAUCAAUUGAUUGUUAAUGCAUAGAUUUAUUUUUGCACUCCCUAUUCUGUUCCAUUGGUCUAUAUGUCUGUCUUUAUGCCAUUACCAUACUAUUUUGAUUCCUGUAGCUUUGCAAUAUGCUUUGAAAUCAGGAAUUACGAAGCCUCCAGCUUUCUUCUUCUCUCUCAAGAUUAUUUUGUUUAUUCAAGGUCCUUUGUUGUUACAUGUGAAUUUUAGGAUUGUUUUUAUCUAUUUCUGUGAAAAAUACCAUAGAGAUUUUGAUAUGGAUUGCAAUGACUCUAUAGAUCACUUUGCAUAGUAUGCCAUUUUAACAAUAUUAAUUCUCCCAAUCCAUGACCAUGAGAUGCCUUUCUAUUUAUUUGUUC
rnacentral:lncRNA from 10 species